UGGGGAAUUUUGGACAAUGGGCGAAAGCCUGAUCCAGCAAUGCCGCGUGUGUGAAGAAGGCCUUCGGGUUGUAAAGCACUUUUGUCCGGAAAGAAAUUCUUGGCUCUAAUACAGUCGGGGGAUGACGGUACCGGAAGAAUAAGCACCGGCUAACUACGUGCCAGCAGCCGCGGUAAUACGUAGGGUGCAAGCGUUAAUCGGAAUUACUGGGCGUAAAGCGUGCGCAGGCGGUUUGCUAAGACCGAUGUGAAAUCCCCGGGCUCAAACCUGGGAACUGCAUUGGUGACUGGCAGGCUAGAGUAUGGCAGAGGGGGGUAGAAUUCCACGUGUAGCAGUGAAAUGCGUAGAGAUGUGGAGGAAUACCGAUGGCGAAGGCAGCCCCCUGGGCCAAUACUGACGCUCAUGCACGAAAAGCGUGGGGAGCAAACAGGAUUAGAUACCCUGGUAGUCCACGCCCUAAACGAUGUCAACUAGUUGUUGGGGAUUCAUUUCCUUAGUAACGUAGCUAACGCGUGAAGUUGACCGCCUGGGGAGUACGGUCGCAAGAUUAAAACUCAAAUGAAUUGACGGGGUCAUAGCUGUUUCCU
rnacentral:rRNA from 1 species